UGAAUUCCAAUCAUUAAAGACAUCAUGGGGCCACCGGAAUGUUUAUUUGUCAUCCAACCUGUUCAGAAGGUCACAAGGACAUGGAUGAAGAGACUACACAAAUAUUAGAUUCAUCCAAAACUUUUGUUGCCACAAGAGGUUUUUAAUGGUCGAUUACCACUGUUUCCUAUAUUAUGGUCCACCUGAUAUUUGGAUCUGCUUAAUUCAUUUUUGAAAUCAUCACCUAAAAUGAGUUUUCAAAAUGUAUGAACGGCGUUUAUGAAAGUACAUAAUCACGGUGGGCCUCAUAGUCAGGGUCGAGUCAAGCUAUGCUCCACUGAAUCUGACACUUUAAGGUUCAAGGAUUGAGCCGGCCCAAGCCAAGCAUGCAUCUUGCAAAGGAGGCCCAAGUCCAACUCGAGAGAGUUAGGUCGGCCCAGGCCCAGUCCAAUCAAGCAUGCAUUUUGGCACAAAAUGCCCAAGCCCAACUCGAGAAGUAUGCUUGGCCGAGGUCCAGACCAACCCAACCCCACUAGCCUAGCCCGAUUGACAAAAUGCCUACUUCCCACCUGAUUGUUUGUAAUUUAGAUGUUGAUCAAGUAGACCACACUUAGAGGAACAAAAUCCACUCCAUCCAUCUUUAGAACAUAAGACAAAAAAUAGGAGGAUCCGGAACUCAAGUUAGCCACAUGAGAGAAACUUGAGACAUUCGUAGGGUCAUAAGAGUUUCAUAUUAGGAAUUUGUUUUUUGUGUUUUCAGUUCAUUCCAAUGGGCAUGACUUUAUGAAUGGUUUGGAUAGUAUAUAAAUAUCAAGGUGGACCUUGUAAGAUUUCAGCAUUGGAAUUUCUUUACCUAUUGUUUCCUCUCGUGUGGCUCCCUUGAGUUCUAGAUCCUUCUCAUUUUUGGUCUCCUGUCCUAAAAUGAGCUCAAAAGAUGGAUGGACAGGGUGGAUUUCUAACAAACAUCACAAUGGGCCUCACCUAGCUUCUGAGCACAUAAACCUACCACAGGCUUUGGUAAGAAAUAUAUUUUCAGCCGAGCUCACUCUAUGUUGUCAGAUAUCUUAAAUUCAUCUAUAAUAGGGUUUGUCGAUGUUAUCGACAGUCCACUCAAUUGCAUCAAGCAGCUGUCGAUAGCAUCGACAGCUCACUCGAUCACAUCGAAAAAAUUUGAAAAAAUUCUAGUUGAUUGCUAGACAGUUUUGGAGAUGGCACUCAAUGUCAUCCACGGGUAUUGGAUGUACGUCAAUGCUAUGGAACGUCCCUUUUCUUUUCUAGCAAGGUAAUCUUAAUAACCAGCAAUCAUGAUCUCUAAUACAUAAUUACUAUUUAGUAAAAUGCAAUGAACUCAGUUUUAAGUGGCACCCAAACAGGUAGGGCUGUCUAAGGGUUGGGUCUUGUAGUACCUGCACCUGGGCUUACCAGUCUAGGUUCUUGCCAGGUUUGGGUCCUUUUAUGUCUGGUGUGGUUCUUAAAAACCUGGAUCUGAUCGGAUUCGGGUACCCAUUGAGUUUUUGGAUCUAAAUUUGGAGUUGGCUAUGGGACAAUUAAGAGCAUUUACAUGAUUGGGCCUACUUGCUGGAUGGAUUAGAUCUCACACAAGCAUGCCGCUUUGGUGGAUGCAUGAUGUGUAAACAGUCUCUCUUACACGUGUGUGCGGCAUAGGGAACCUCAUUUUUUACUAGAAUAAUCAAUACAUGUUAAAAUUAAGUAGUUUUAUCAUUAAAACUGCCUGCACCCAACCCAAAACCUGACUAGACCGAUUUUUAAUCGGAUCCAAAAAGUGAGACCCAAACCCGGCCUGACCCAUUAAAAUCGGGCCGGGUUGAUUGGGUACCCACAUUUAAAAUGUCUUCUUGUGACUGUGUUCAUUGAAAACGAAAAUAACGUAUGGUUGGAACUUUCUUUCAGGCAAUUUCAUUGUCAGGGGUUCGCUUUCUGGAGCUGAUUGGAGAGGAUGAAAUGGCAUUCGAUAACCUCUACUGUGUGGCAUUUCAGAUGAUGGAUGCUCGAUGGCUUGCGAAGCGUGCUUCUUAUAUGGAAUUAAAUGAGGUUUUGAAAUCAACUCGAACGCAGCUGGAGCAUGAGCUAGCAUGGGAAGACGUCUCCAGCAUUAAGGAUUUGCCGGCUUGCAAUCUUUUGAACCAAUAGCUGGGCUGCAUUGGUCUUAUGCAUUUUCUUAGCUUCUUGAUUUCUGUAGUUCUCUGUAUACGUACAGUAUAGAAAUUCUCCAUCCAAACAUGUAAAUUCAAGUGCUCAAAAUUCUAUUUCUGAGAAAUCCAAUUCACAGGUAUAAGAAAUAGUCUGAAGAGUAAAUACUAUUAAAGUGUGUUGUUAAUUAAAUGUUGUGAUUGAUCGAGAGUGGAAAGGUUUUGUUCAGCCCAGAAAAGAUACAGGCGGGGUCUGCUUUUCAGCAA